AUACGUAGGUGACAAGCGUUAUCCGGAUUUACUGGGCGUAAAGGGCGUGUAGGCGGUCUUGCAAGUCAGAAGUGAAAUUCCUGAGCUCAACUCGGGCGCUGCUUCUGAAACUGCAGGACUUGAGUGCUGGAGGGGAUAGCGGAAUUCCUAGUGGAGCGGUAAAAUGCGCAGAUAUUAGGAAGAACACCGGUGGCGAAGGCGGCUAUCUGGACAGUAACUGACGCUGAGGCGCGAAAGCGUGGGGAGCAAACAGGAUUAGAUACCCUGGUAGUCCACGCCGUAAACGAUGCAUACUAGGUGUAGGGGGUAUCGACUCCCUCUGUGCCGCAGUUAACACAAUAAGUAUUCCGCCUGGGGAGUACGGCCGCAAGGUUGAAACUCAAAUGAAUUGACGGGG
rnacentral:rRNA from 1 species